rnacentral:rRNA from 1 species
UGGGGAAUAUUGCACAAUGGGCGAAAGCCUGAUGCAGCGACGCCGCGUGAGGGAUGACGGCCUUCGGGUUGUAAACCUCUUUCAGCAGGGACGAAGCGCAAGUGACGGUACCUGCAGAAGAAGCACCGGCUAACUACGUGCCAGCAGCCGCGGUAAUACGUAGGGUGCAAGCGUUGUCCGGAAUUACUGGGCGUAAAGAGUUCGUAGGCGGUUUGUCGCGUCGUUUGUGAAAACCAGCAGCUCAACUGCUGGCUUGCAGGCGAUACGGGCAGACUUGAGUACUGCAGGGGAGACUGGAAUUCCUGGUGGAGCGGUGAAAUGCGCAGAUAUCAGGAGGAACACCGGUGGCGAAGGCGGGUCUCUGGGCAGUAACUGACGCGGAGGAACGAAAGCGUGGGUAGCGAACAGG